GUGACGGCGUACCUUUUGUAUAAUGGGUCAUCGACUUGGUCUAUCUAGCAAGCUUAAGCCGUUAGGUGUAGGCGCAGCGAAAGCGAGUCUUAAUAGGGCGUAUGAGUUAGAUGGAUCAGACCCGAAACCGAGUGAUCUAGGCAUGACCAGGAUGAAGGUAAGGUAACACUUACUGGAGGUCCGAACCCACACCUGUUGAAAAAGGUCGGGAUGAGUUGUGCCUAGGGGUGAAAGGCCAAUCAAACUCGGAGAUAGCUGGUUCUCUGCGAAAUCUAUUUAGGUAGAGCGUCAUCCGAAUACCCUCGGGGGUAGAGCACUGGAUGGGUAAUGGGGCCCCACAGGCUUACUGAUCCUAACCAAACUCCGAAUACCGAGGAGUACUAGAUGGCAGACAGACAGCGGAUGCUAACGUCCGUUGUCGAGAGGGAAACAACCCUGACCUACAGCUAAGGCCCCUAAUUCAUGGCUAAGUGGGAAAGCAGGUGGGACGACCAAAACAACCAGGAGGUUGGCUUAGAAGCAGCCAUCCUUUAAAGAUAGCGUAACAGCUCACUGGUCUAAAUAAGUUGUCCUGCGGCGAAGAUGUAACGGGGCUCAAGCCAUGAGCCGAAGCUUAGGAUGAGUGAAUUCUUCGGAAUUCAUUCGUGGUAGCAGAGCGUAGUGUGACAUAGUUCCGUGUCUCUUUAGCGACUUCGGUCGUUACGGAGACGUGGAGCUUUCGAUGAAGCGGGCGCGUGAGCGAUCCCGUGGAGAGAUCACUAGUGAGAAUGAUGACAUGAGUAGCGACAAACAGUGUGAGAGACACUGUCGCCGAAAGUCCAAGGGUUCCUGCUUAAAGCUAAUCUGAGCAGGGUAAGCCGACCCCUAAGGCGAGGCCGAAAGGCGUAGUCGAUGGGAACCAGGUUAAUAUUCCUGGGCCAGAUGGAAGUGACGGAUCUCGAGGGUAGUUCAUCCUUAUCGGAUUGAGUGGGCUGCUUAGAGGUUCCUGGAAAUAGCUCCAUCGCUAGAUCGUACCCUAAACCAACACAGGUGGACUGGUAGAGAAUACCAAGGCGCUUGAGAGAACCACAUUUAAGGAACUCGGCAAAAUACCUCCGUAAGUUCGCGAGAAGGAGGCCCGGUUUUUACGCAAGUAGAGGCCGGGGGCACAAACCAGGGGGUGGCGACUGUUUACUAAAAACACAGGGCUCUGCGAAGUCGCAAGACGACGUAUAGGGUCUGACGCCUGCCCGGUGCCUGAAGGUUAAAAGGAGGGGUGAGAGCUCUGAAUUGAAGCCCAGGUAAACGGCGGCCGUAACUAUAACGGUCCUAAGGUAGCGAAAUUCCUUGUCGGGUAAGUUCCGACCUGCACGAAUGGCGUAACGACUUCCCCGCUGUCUCAAAUGUGGACUCAGCGAAAUUGAAUUGCCUGUCAAGAUGCAGGCUUCCCGCGGUUAGACGGAAAGACCCCGUGCACCUUUACUACAGCUUCGCACUGGCAUCAGGAUUGUGAUGUGCAGGAUAGGUGGUAGACUUUGAAGCCGGAACGCCAGUUUCGGUGGAGUCACCCUUGAGAUACCACUCUUCGCACUCUUGAUGUCUAACCGCGGUCCGUUAUCCGGAUCCGGGACCCUGCGUGGCGGGUAGUUUGACUGGGGCGGUCGCCUCCUAAAUCGUAACGGAGGCGCGCGAAGGUUGGCUCAGACCGGUCGGAAAUCGGUCGUUGAGUGCAAUGGCAGAAGCCAGCCUGACUGCGAGACUGACAAGUCGAGCAGAGACGAAAGUCGGUCAUAGUGAUCCGGUGGUCCCAAGUGGGAGGGCCAUCGCUCAACGGAUAAAAGGUACGCCGGGGAUAACAGGCUGAUACUGCCCAAGAGUCCAUAUCGACGGCAGUGUUUGGCACCUCGAUGUCGGCUCAUCUCAUCCUGGGGCUGGAGCAGGUCCCAAGGGUACGGCUGUUCGCCGUUUAAAGAGGUACGUGAGCUGGGUUUAGAACGUCGUGAGACAGUUCGGUCCCUAUCUGCCGUGGGUGUAGGAUACUUGAGAGGAGUUGCCCCUAGUACGAGAGGACCGGGGUGAACGUUCCACUGGUGGACCUGUUGUUGCGCCAGCAGCAGUGCAGGGUAGCUAUGAACGGACAGGAUAACCGCUGAAGGCAUCUAAGCGGGAAGCCCCCCUCAAAACAAGGUAUCCCUGAGAGCCGUGGUAGACCACCACGUCGAUAGGCCGGAGAUGUAAGCGCAGCAAUGCGUUCAGUUGACCGGUACUAAUUGCUCGAUAGGCUUGAUUUG
rnacentral:rRNA from 1 species